rnacentral:lncRNA from 1 species
GAUCUUUUUAGGGCUUCACCUGAGGCAUAUGGAGGUUCCCAGGCUAGGAGCUGAAUCAGAGCUGUAGCUGCUGGCCUACACCACAGCCACAACAACAAGGGAUCUGAGCUGUGUCUGUGACCUAUACCACAGCUCAUGGCAAUGAUGGAUCCUUAGCCCACUGAGGAGGCCAGGGAUUGAACCUAUGUCCUCAUUGAUCAUGAGAAAUUCCUUGUCUUUAUCUGGGAACUAGAAAUAAUGGAGUAAUUCAGAUAUUUAACUACUAUGGGCAAGUACACUUCUUGGCCUCUGGAAAUACAAUGAAAAGGCAUAGGCUCUGCUCAUAAGGCACUUCUGAUAGUUGAGAAGACAGACAUGAAAGUGAACCAUGAGAACUCCAUGGAAGUUGCUCGCAUGAAGGUACGUACCUGGCACAAUUAGAACCUAGGAAGACAAGUCCACAAGUCUACUGCAAGAUAUGUAGGAUCAUCUGUCCUGUAAUUGACUUCUCUCCUCAUUUGGAGAAAAGAAAAUGCUGCUGAGGCCCUGAGCAAUUAAACGACUUUCCUUGUCAUUUGUCAUCUAAACUACGCGGACAUCCUCCUGAUCGCCCUUCUGCUUCCUAAUCUCUUGAUAAUCUGGUCCAUUCUUAAAACCAUUGCUCCAGGUUCCUUUUAAAACUGAGUGGAUCUGAGGGUCCAGAGCCCCAGCUGUGACUUUCAGAGCUGCCAUCUCCUUUCCGUCCGGCUCAUCCCUCCACUAGCUGGGCUUCAGUACCCUGCCCGCUCUCCUGCCUCAUUUCGUGUUUCUAACUUUUGCUCAUGUUCUUCUUUCUUUCUCAGCUUCUUUCCACCUAUCAAAAUCAACACAUUCAAAGCUCAGCUCAAAUGGGACCUUGUCCAUGAAGCCUGCUCUGAUUCUCCCAGUUCAUGUUAAUUACUGAUUCCUUGCAUUUCUACAGCUCCCAUUUGUAGACAACUUCUAUGAAAAUGGUUGCAUUCCGCUUUGACUCUGCUUCAUGUUUAUAGUUCUAGCUCUUUCAUUAAAUUCUAAACCCCUGGAAGACUUGGAUAGGGACAUAUUCCUUCAUGACCCAUUGACCUCAUAGCCCAUAGUUAAUAAGUAAAGCCUCAUCAGAUGCAGUUGAAUAUUGCCCAAGGUCAGGUGUGAGCAGAAGCCCCAAGUCUAAAAACCUGGUUCUUCUGAUCUACAUCAAAACCUUAGGAACUCCAAGAAGUUACCUAACAUGUCUUCAUUCCAUCAAUUGCUUCACCUUGCAGAAACUUCUUUGUGAGCCUAAGGUGCAGAAUUGCCAGUGUUGUCAUGACUCCCAGUGUUUCCCGUGGCAGCCAGGUUGAGGAGGUAGCCGGGAUGGAUGUCUUUAUGUUGGGCAUCAUUUCCCCAUCUCCAGUAGGCCCUAUGAAUAUUUGAAGGGGAGUCUGGAAGCUGUUUCCUGUGAGGGAAGUUAAGUUGAAAUGCAGGAAGUAAAGAUUAAGGAAUAUUAACAUAAAAUCUGUAUUGUGAAUUCUUUUACAUAAAAAUGUUACCAUUGUAGGGCGAAGCGGUGUCAGAGAGCUUUUCAGAUGUCUACAUUUUAAUACCCCAGUGAAGAGUUUGUUGUAAAUUAUGAAACGUGGAAAUUCUUCAUCCUUCCAAAGAUCCUUGACAAAAGAAUGCGCUGAAGGGAAAUAAUGUGUGUGUGUGUGUGUGUGUGUGUGUGUGCGCGCGCGCACGUGUGUUCAUUUUUCCAAGUGUACCUUCCUGAUGCAAAAAUGUGGGGCAGCAGAAGGCAGUGUAGGUGAAGUGAGGAGUGACUGCCUCAGUCUUUGGUAUUUUACAUUGCUCUGUCAGUCUGUCUGUCUGUCUAUCUAUCUGCCUAUCUGCCUAUCCACCUCCCUAUCUGUCCAUUUCAAUGGCAUCAUGUACAAGUGGGGAUCGUGUAUAAGUCUCUGGUCAACCCAGCGUUAUCUAAUAUGCAGUGGGGGGGUCUGAAAAGAGGACUGGGGCUGCAGACCACCCCUCCCGUACACUCUGCAAGCUUCUUCCUCUGCAGGUCAGGGAAGGAUCCGAGUUGUUAUCCCGUUAUCAUGAUCCCUGCUGUGGGUUCAUGGAGCUGUCACCUGAGGUCUUCACUUACCUGCUGGCUGGUCCCACUCCAUCCAGCUCCCUCCUCAGGCCAGCCAGCACCCUUUACCUGUUCUUCCACUUGCUGUUGGAGGAACACCAGCACCGGCACCCUUUACCUGUUCUACCGCCCUUAACCAGCCAGCACCCUUUGCGUGUUCCUCCACUUGCUGGUAUUGCCUAUCUGGUCUGGUUUAUAGUCACUUGUCGGAAAACUUCCAGGUUUGGGGGCCCCACGAGGGUCAGCCUGCUUUCCCAGAACAGGAAAAUGCUGGUAGAUGAAAGGCUUGGCAGCCUCCUUGUUCUCCACUCUGCAACAGAAGGGAUUUCCUUUCUGUAAUCACCACAACCACUAAAGUAUUUGAACAUGAAGGCAUUGAAUCAGUCAUCUUUGCUGGGAAAAGUUUCCACCGAGGGGCAGGUGUUAAGAGCCAGCCUCUGCAGUGGCACCGCUGUAGGAUUUUAAGCCCAUUGACCUCUCAAGGUGGCAGGUACUUGACCUCUGAAUGCCUUAGUGUCCUCGUCUAUAAAACGGGAGUGAUAAAAAUCCACUUCAUAGGGAAUUUGUAAGGGUCAAGUAAGUUAACAUAGGUACGGCAUUUAGAAGAGUAUCCAGCCCAUAGUGAGCACUGUGUAAAUAUAAAGCUAUUGUUACUGCAAGAAUGGCUUUGCCUGCUGCUCAAGAAUUUAGUUUAUGGAGGUUGGAACGGGCUUGUCAAGAGGGAUUAGCAGCCAUCUUGACCAGAGGAGAAACUGAGGCAGUGAGAAGAAGCCAGCUAAGCGAGGUCCAAUGGUAUCUGUGGCUUUGCUUGACUUAAAAUGCAUAUAAACCCAGCUGGGUCUCUGCCACCCUCUGUGUGUUCUUAAGGAAAUAUGGACACCCUAAUGUGAUGCUAAAAUCAGAUGAAGCCAAGAGUGUGUGUCUGUUGGAAUGUCCGUUGGGGGAAAAGAGCAUGAAUUUAGAUGAAAGUAUAGCAAGAAAACCCUAAGAGAAGUGAACCCUAAUGCAGUACAGGGCUGACCAAGAGGGAGAGAGGCGCCCGUUCCCCUUUGCCCUAGGUGUUUGAAAAAAUCUCCAAACCUGUGCCAACCACAACCCAGUCCUGCAGACACUGUGAUUUUGCAAUUUGCUUGCAUCUGUGUUUUGCUGAAAGCUUUCAGCUUUGGGUGCCUCCAGAACUCUUCAGGCCUGGCAAGGAGAGCCGUGCUCUCAUUGCCUUCUGCAAGCAGCCUCAGGACAGCAGAUUUCAUUUGGGAAACUUCCAGGGAUGAAGAAUGCGCCGUGUGUGUGUGUGUGUGUGUGUGUGCGUGUGUGUGUGUGUGUGUGUGUGUGUGUGUGUGUGUCCCUUAUAAAGAAAAGCAACUUGAUAUUUAUUCAUGUUAUUUUUAAAGAGGAAUGUCCUCUAAGCUGCAGGAAGAUAGAAUAAGAUUGUAUGAUUUUAAUGCAGCUUAUUACUUCUCAAUCCCUUUUCCUUUGUGUGUUUCCCAAAUGCUACUGACAGGAAGGGCACCAAUGAAGGGGCAAAGAGGCAACCUCAGGGGGAGAACUCUACACCUCACAGAAGUGACUGCUUUCGCUGGGCGCCUAUAAGUAUCUCUUUUCCAUCAUCUUCUCCCCUUUGCCUCUUACUCAGCAGUGAAGAAUCCUCAAAUAUCUGCAGAG